UUAAUUCGAUGCAACGCGAGAACUUACCUGGCUUGACAUACACCGGAUCGGGCUAGAGAUAGUCUUUCCCUUGUGGCUGGUGUACAGGUGGUGCAUGGUUGUCGUCAGCUCGUGUCGUGAGAUGUUGGGUUAAGUCCCGCAACGAGCGCAACCCUUGUCUUAUGUUGCCAGCACGUGAUGGUGGGGACUCAUGAGAGACUGCCGGGGUUAACUCGGAGGAAGGUGGGGAUGACGUCAAAUCAUCAUGCCCCUUAUGUCCAGGGCUUCACACAUGCUACAAUGGUCGGUACAACGCGUGUGCGACACUGUGAGGUGAAGCUAAUCGCUCUAAAGCCGGUCGUAGUUCGGAUUGGGGUCUGCAACUCGACCCCAUGAAGUCGGAGUCGCUAGUAAUCGCAGAUCAGCAACGCUGCGGUGAAUACGUUCCCGGGCCUU
rnacentral:rRNA from 1 species